UGCAGACCUGAGAUUAAAAAAAAGUAAUAACUCACCCCAUUCCAAGACCAAUACUCACCCAUGCUCUAAAGAAAGCAGUCUCCAGGUAGAGAUGCUGCCCUUUAAUGCAGUCAGGAUCUCCCCCUCCUCAAAAAAAAAACAAAAAAAACAAAAAAAAAAACAAAAAAACACAACAAAAACACCAAAAAAAAAAAAAAAAAACCACAAGCAAGGGGGAACCCACAGCCCUGAUGCUGCCACCAUCCCUUCCAGCCCUUAAAUGUGGUCAGGGAGGGGUGGAGUCAGUCUCAGCCCCAUCCCACAGGUGAACUGCUCCCACCAGUGCUUGCAGGGCUACACCCCUCACCAAGUGCUCAAUCACUGUUUUAGGUUGUGACCUCACAGUUCGCAUACAGCCAUGAAACAACAAAAAAAGAACACAUCAUCCCAUGGUCACUGUGCAUCACCCCAUGUCACGUUGUGGGUACUUUCAAUGUCCCCCCACCCACCCCAAUGUCCCAAUGUUCCAUCUCCACUCCCACCCCCAUGUCCCCAUGCCCACCUCUGUCACCUCUGUGCUCCCAGUGUCCCCAUGACCUCCCCCCCAUUCCCAGUGCCCCCACAGUUGCCUCCCCAAUGUCCCCAAACCCACCCCAUGACCUCAUGCCCUCCUCCCAGUGCCUGCACCUCCCCAGUGUUCAUCCACCCAGCCCCCACAUCCCCAUGGUCCUUUCUGUGACUUCAGUGUCCCCACACCCACCUCCCCAUCCCCAGUGCUCUCAUGCCAAUCUCCCCAUUACCACGCUCACCCCCAUGUCCCCACACCCACCUCUGUGCCCCUAAUGUCCCCAUGCCUUCCUCCCCAUCCCCAGUGCCCCCCUGCCCACUCUAUCUCCACACCCACUCCCAAUGUCCCCAUGGUCCCCUUUGUGUCCCCAGUGUCCCCACACCCACAGCUACGCCUCCGAUGUGCCCAGGACCCCCUUCCUGUUCCCAUUGCCCCCUGCCUACCCCCACCUGCAGGGCAGGGAGCACAUCUUCAGGUCAGAGAAUGAUUCCCAUCCUGGCACAUGCUGCAUCCUCAUCAUCGUCACUGACUGCAAUGCUACCGACAGCAGCACUGUAUGCACAGUUGAGGAUUGCGGCAUCAUGUGCUGCAUCAUUGGAGUACAGCCCACACUGCACCUUGGGGCCAUGCGGGGACCACUGUGUCCCUGACCCCCAUCUCCACUCCACAGUGGUUUGGAGAUAA
rnacentral:lncRNA from 1 species